rnacentral:rRNA from 1 species
AACGAAGGCUUCGGCCUUAGUGGCGCACGGGUGCGUAACGCGUGGGAAUCUGCCCUCAGGUUCGGAAUAACAGCGAGAAAUUGCUGCUAAUACCGGAUGAUAUCGCGAGAUCAAAGAUUUAUCGCCUGAGGAUGAGCCCGCGUAGGAUUAGCUAGUUGGUGUGGUAAAGGCGCACCAAGGCGACGAUCCUUAGCUGGUCUGAGAGGAUGAUCAGCCACACUGGGACUGAGACACGGCCCAGACUCCUACGGGAGGCAGCAGUGGGGAAUAUUGGACAAUGGGCGAAAGCCUGAUCCAGCAAUGCCGCGUGAGUGAUGAAGGCCUUAGGGUUGUAAAGCUCUUUUACCCGGGAUGAUAAUGACAGUACCGGGAGAGUAAGCUCCGGCUAACUCCGUGCCAGCAGCCGCGGUAAUACGGAGGGAGCUAGCGUUAUUCG